GAUGAACGCUGGCGGCGUGCCUAAUACAUGCAAGUCGAGCGAACAGACGAGGAGCUUGCUCCUCUGACGUUAGCGGCGGACGGGUGAGUAACACGUGGAUAACCUAUCUAUAAGACUGGGAUAACUUCGCGAACCCGGAGCUAAUACCGGAUAAUAUAUUGAACCGCAUGGUUCAAUAGUGAAAGACGGUUUUGCUGUCACUUAUAGAUGGAUCCGCGCCGCAUUAGCUAGUUGGUAAGGUAACGGCUUACCAAGGCGACGAUGCGUAGCCGACCUGAGAGGGUGAUCGGCCACACUGGAACUGAGACACGGUCCAGACUCCUACGGGAGGCAGCAGUAGGGAAUCUUCCGCAAUGGGCGAAAGCCUGACGGAGCAACGCCGCGGGAGUGAUGAAGGUCUUCGGAUCGGAAAACUCUGUUAUUAGGGAAGAACAAAUGUGUAAGUAACUAUGCACGUCUUGACGGUACCUAAUCAGAAAGCCACGGCUAACUACGUG
rnacentral:rRNA from 1 species